UGAUUACGUCCCUGCCCUUUGUACACACCGCCCGUCGCUACCCGGGACUGAGUUGUUUCGAGAAAUCUACGGACCGACGCGUGGGUGGCAACACCUCCGCGCUGGAAAGUAAAUUAAUCGCAAUGGCUUGAACCGGGUAAAAGUCGUAACAAGGUAUCGGUAGGUGAACCUGCCGAUGGAUCAUUAUCACGAUGAACCACCGCCUUGUUCCGGUUGCAAGACUAGCACGAGCUAUGCGCAACCCGAAUAGACCUGCAGUGCAGUGGGUAGAACCACCGCACUGUUACUUUCAACGGCUUCCUUGGGUCUCUAUGAUCGGUUGAGCAGUUGUGUUUCACGACCGUGGCUGCAACGACACCGAUCGGCAGGAGCCUCUUCGGCUCUAGAGUUAAUAACCCGCGUGGGUGCCCAAGAAUCAUUCAUUCAUUCGAAUUUUUUUACCUACGAACACUAUAUAAGCUAUAUCGGUGGAUCACUUGGCUCGUGGAUCGAUGAAGAACGCAGUGAAUUGCGUUAAGAAUCACGAAUUACAGAUAUUAUGAGUGACAUGUUUUCGAUUGCAUAUUGCACCGUCAGGCAUUUGUCUGUCGGUAUACCCAACUCAGGGUGUGUAACACUAGCAAGUAAACGCACAUUUUCUCGCACCUUCGGCACAAUGCACUUGUUGAUUGUGUCGACUCCGGUGACUUUCGAGUUCAUAUUGAGUGUGUGACUGCUUACAAGCACUAAGUGAAUGAGGUUGUCUACCUCUGCACAGGGUUUUCAAUAAAUACUUGCUAACUCUGCGUGGACGGACCAGUCAACUGCUUGCAGUCGCGGACACCGCCAAUACCUUGGUUGAAUCCACCUGAGUUGUGUAUGAACACCUGCUGAACUUAAGCAUAUCAGUAAGCAGAGGAAAAGAAACCAACUGGGAUUUCCUUAGUAACGGCGAGUGA
rnacentral:misc_RNA from 1 species